AUGCAAGUCGAGCGGAAACGAGUUAUCUGAACCUUCGGGGAACGAUAACGGCGUCGAGCGGCGGACGGGUGAGUAAUGCCUAGGAAAUUGCCCUGAUGUGGGGGAUAACCAUUGGAAACGAUGGCUAAUACCGCAUGAUGCCUACGGGCCAAAGAGGGGGACCUUCGGGCCUCUCGCGUCAGGAUAUGCCUAGGUGGGAUUAGCUAGUUGGUGAGGUAAGGGCUCACCAAGGCGACGAUCCCUAGCUGGUCUGAGAGGAUGAUCAGCCACACUGGAACUGAGACACGGUCCAGACUCCUACGGGAGGCAGCAGUGGGGAAUAUUGCACAAUGGGCGCAAGCCUGAUGCAGCCAUGCCGCGUGUGUGAAGAAGGCCUUCGGGUUGUAAAGCACUUUCAGUCGUGAGGAAGGUGGUGUCGUUAAUAGCGGCAUUAUUUGACGUUAGCGACAGAAGAAGCACCGGCUAACUCCGUGCCAGCAGCCGCGGUAAUACGGAGGGUGCGAGCGUUAAUCGGAAUUACUGGGCGUAAAGCGCAUGCAGGUGGUUUGUUAAGUCAGAUGUGAAAGCCCGGGGCUCAACCUCGGAAUAGCAUUUGAAACUGGCAGACUAGAGUACUGUAGAGGGGGGUAGAAUUUCAGGUGUAGCGGUGAAAUGCGUAGAGAUCUGAAGGAAUACCGGUGGCGAAGGCGGCCCCCUGGACAGAUACUGACACUCAGAUGCGAAAGCGUGGGGAGCAAACAGGAUUAGAUACCCUG
rnacentral:rRNA from 1 species